AGCAAGGAGGCCGCUAACGAUGGGACUAGUUGUGGGGACCAUUCCACGGUUUCCGUGACGCAGCUAACGCAUUAAGUUCCCCGCCUGGGGAGUACGGCCGCAAGGCUAAAACUCAAAGGAAUUGACGGGGACCCGCACAAGCGGCGGAGCAUGCGGAUUAAUUCGAUGCAACGCGAAGAACCUUACCAAGGCUUGACAUAUACGAGAACGGGCCAGAAAUGGUCAACUCUUUGGACACUCGUAAACAGGUGGUGCAUGGUUGUCGUCAGCUCGUGUCGUGAGAUGUUGGGUUAAGUCCCGCAACGAGCGCAACCCUCGUUCUAUGUUGCCAGCACGUAAUGGUGGGAACUCAUGGGAUACUGCCGGGGUCAACUCGGAGGAAGGUGGGGAUGACGUCAAAUCAUCAUGCCCCUUAUGUCUUGGGCUUCACGCAUGCUACAAUGGCCGGUACAAAGGGCUGCAAUACCGUGAGGUGGAGCGAAUCCCAAAAAGCCGGUCCCAGUUCGGAUUGAGGUCUGCAACUCGACCUCAUGAAGUCGGAGUCGCUAGUAAUCGCAGAUCAGCAACGCUGCGGUGAAUACGUUCCCGGGUCUUGUACACACCGCCCGUCAAGUCAUGAAAGUCGGUAACACUGAAGCGUGACCACCCUUGUGAGGGAGCGUCGAGUGGAUCGUAUAAGACUAGUCGUACAGUAGCGUACGAGAGUUGGCCGUUAUACACUCCCAUAAAAG
rnacentral:rRNA from 1 species